GACGAACGCUGGCGGCGUGCCUAAUACAUGCAAGUAGAACGCUGAAGGAGGAGCUUGCUUCUCUGGAUGAGUUGCGAACGGGUGAGUAACGCGUAGGUAACCUGCCUGGUAGCGGGGGAUAACUAUUGGAAACGAUAGCUAAUACCGCAUAAGAGUAGAUGUCGCAUGACAUUUGCUUAAAAGGUGCAAUUGCAUCACUACCAGAUGGACCUGCGUUGUAUUAGCUAGUUGGUGAGGUAACGGCUCACCAAGGCAACGAUACAUAGCCGACCUGAGAGGGUGAUCGGCCACACUGGGACUGAGACACGGCCCAGACUCCUACGGGAGGCAGCAGUAGGGAAUCUUCGGCAAUGGACGGAAGUCUGACCGAGCAACGCCGCGUGAGUGAAGAAGGUUUUCGGAUCGUAAAGCUCUGUUGUAAGAGAAGAGCGAGUGUGAGAGUGGAAAGUUCACACUGUGACGGUAUCUUACCAGAAAGGGACGGCUAACUACGUG
rnacentral:rRNA from 1 species